GCUUCCGGUUUUUUCCUCAGGCUUCCGGUCUGUUUGGUGCCCUGGUCGCGUGUCUUCCGAACUCUGCUGCUUCGCCCCGGCAAGAGCACUUCCUUCCGCGGCUGCUAAAACUGGUGCGCGGGUUCCCAACUUCGCAGAAGAGCUUCAUCGGCCCCCCGCUAGAGACCUCAGACCGCAGCCAUCGACGCCUCGCCUCGGGGAUCUGUCCCCACCCUCGGGGCCAGCUCACCAUGAGUCAGGCCCUGUGCUAGGUGCUGGGAUGAAGCAGUGACUGACACAGGCCUGGACCUGUCCUUGGGAAGAGUGCGUCUGUGACACAGAUACUGUGCCAUGUGGCAAAACUUGAAUGGAGACAUCAGCUCUUUGUGGGUCUCAAGUCUACUGGCUUUCAAUCAGCUCUUCUGCUUGACAGCUGCAGGUCUUGGGACUGCCCAGCCCCCAUAACCCUGUGAGUGCAUUCCUGAUAAUAACCCUCUUUCUCUUGUCCUCCCCCACCCCACAUCAUUGGUUCUGUUUCUCUGGAGAACCAUAAUACAUCAUUUACUAAUCAGGAAAUAGAUUCAGAGACAUUAAUAACUCAUCCAACCUCACAGUUAACUGUAGAGUUGGGCUUGAAAUUCCAAGGUCGAUUUUCUUAGCCAAUACACCAUGCUACAUAUAUGUAUGUAAAAAUAAAAACGCUUGUGAACUGAAAAGGGUCCAAA
rnacentral:lncRNA from 1 species